GUGGGGAAUUUUGGACAAUGGGCGAAAGCCUGAUCCAGCCAUGCCGCGUGUGUGAAGAAGGUCUUCGGAUUGUAAAGCACUUUAAGUUGGGAGGAAGGGCAGUAAGUUAAUACCUUGCUGUUUUGACGUUACCGACAGAAUAAGCACCGGCUAACUUCGUGCCAGCAGCCGCGGUAAUACGAAGGGUGCAAGCGUUAAUCGGAAUUACUGGGCGUAAAGCGCGCGUAGGUGGUUUUGUAAGUUGGAGGUGAAAUCCCCGGGCUCAACCUGGGAACUGCCUCCAAAACUGCAUGACUAGAGUACGGUAGAGGGUAGUGGAAUUUCCUGUGUAGCGGUGAAAUGCGUAGAUAUAGGAAGGAACACCAGUGGCGAAGGCGACUACCUGGACUGAUACUGACACUGAGGUGCGAAAGCGUGGGGAGCAAACAGGAUUAGAUACCCCAGUAGUCC
rnacentral:rRNA from 1 species